CCCCUUCCCUGUUCGGCCGCGGCGCCCUAUAUCUGGGCUGUCCGGGAAACCGGACUAUGGGGAUAAACGCGCGCGUAAUAAGCGGAUCGGACCCGGGGGCGGUACCCGGCGGCUCCACCAGAAACCCUUCGUUGGGGGAAACCUGGGGCCGAAACAGGAUCGACGGACGUGUAAAGGCGAUAGCUUUCUCUCGGCAGGACGCCACCGUUAUCGGCUCAAAGCACAUAGUUGCCAACGACAACCGUGCUCCGGUCGCGCUGGCUGCGUAAGCAGUCCGCAAGACCAAUUCUGAAGUCCUUGACCUUAGCCGGUUAAGGCGGGGUUCGCAGGCACCUGGCAACAGAAGCCUGCACU
rnacentral:tmRNA from 1 species